GGGAAACUGCCCGAUGGAGGGGGAUAACUACUGGAAACGGUAGCUAAUACCGCAUAACGUCUUCGGACCAAAGUGGGGGACCUUCGGGCCUCACACCAUCGGAUGUGCCCAGAUGGGAUUAGCUAGUAGGUGGGGUAACGGCUCACCUAGGCGACGAUCCCUAGCUGGUCUGAGAGGAUGACCAGCCACACUGGAACUGAGACACGGUCCAGACUCCUACGGGAGGCAGCAGUGGGGAAUAUUGCACAAUGGGCGCAAGCCUGAUGCAGCCAUGCCGCGUGUAUGAAGAAGGCCUUCGGGUUGUAAAGUACUUUCAGUGGGGAGGAAGGCGAUGAAGUUAAUAACUUCGUCGAUUGACGUUACCCGCAGAAGAAGCACCGGGCUAACUCC
rnacentral:rRNA from 1 species